rnacentral:lncRNA from 1 species
GUGAGUCUGCCCGGCGUGGCUGCCCGGCUCCCUUCCCUGGGGCGGGGCGGGCGGCGCGGCAGGUGGGUGCCCAGGCCCCGGAGGCCGAGGGGGUGCUGGGCGGCUGCCUGGAGGGUGGGUGGGAGCCGGAGCGGACCGGGGGCGACUCUCCGGGGACCCGGCGCGACUUGUCUGGGCUGCGAUCGCCGCGGCUUCCGCCACCCCGGCGGUCCCCACCCCAGCCCCUUCCCCAGAGGGGCGUGUGGGGCCGGGAGGUGGGACCCCGGGGGGCUAAGGCUGGGGCUUGGAAAUGAAAGAGGCGGUCGGAAAGCCAGCCACCCGCCCCCACCCCGGAGAGCCCGUUCGGGAAACUGACUCGCUGCGUGACCCCGAUAUCAACGCGGUGGGGGAGCAGGCUGGCCCGCGCGCGCCUCGGGGAUCCGGGGCCCGGGGCCUCGGAAGGAGCGGGGAGGAUGUCCCCCGAGAGUCACCGCCGUCCCCACAGAAAGUUAGGGGCCCCUCCCUGGAGGAGCAGGCGGCUCUGGCACGUUGCCUUUAGCCUUGAUGGACAGGAGUGAAAUAAGUAAAACCUGGGCUCCAGGGUGCUGACCGGGGUACCCGGGCCAGAGACACCACGUUAGCGGAAGAAAAAGUUAGAUAAAGGAACAAAUAAAAGGCAUUUUGAUUUGGGGGUGGGGGGAGUGGCGUUUCGGAUUUCUCCUGCUUCCAACCCCGUCGAGGGGAGCGCUGGAAUGUGGCGUUCAGAUCCUCUGAGGACACAUCCAUAUUUAUAAUUUAUUUUUAGGAGAAGUUGUGACUAGGGGAGGAGGGUUACACUGGGGAAAAAAGGUGUGCUCGAAAGGCGGCCUUUCCCGAGCCCGGGGGCUAAUUGGACCCUUAGGGUGGGAACAGGCCUCCCUAUCGGGACAGCAGCAAAUUUGACUUUAAUGGGUGACAAUUAAGGGCAUAAAUAACUAAACUUUCUUUAGCUGGAGGGGGAGCCUUACAGGCGCCUCUGACGCUCCAUUGAUGCUUUGCUGGGGGACUUUGGGGGAACUCCUGGUAUUUUCUGGGGUUUUGCGCCUGAGUGUUAGCAGGGAGCAAGCGGUGACUGCUCCCCGAGGGAGGUGACGGUCCCACGGGUGGACAAAUGCGCCCUUCCUCCCACAGCGACACCUUGGCUUUCUGGGAGAUGAACCGCCUUCCUGAGGGAAAAAGCCAGGAACGAUUCCUUUAACGAUCUAGGAUUCUCCCAGUCCUGCCUCCCAGGCAGCUCGCUCCCGAGCACGGAGCUGUGAGGGGACUCACUUCGGGAGGAAGAAGGCUCCGGAGGCUGUGGGCCCAGAAUCGGGGUUUUGAGGGCGAGAUGAGUUUAUGUUUUAUCCAACUGGCCCACAAAGUCCCGCUUUUGGGGUCAUUCUUAACAGCGAGGGAUUCAGGCCCUGGCAGCCCCUGAAGAGUGAGGGUGGGGCGCGGAUCGCCCAGGCUGCUCCUCUAAAACCGGCUGGGGAAAGGGAGCCCUUGCUACUUCCGAAAAAGUGAGGCCCAACGUGGGGUGAGGGUGGGAUGCUCUUACAAUGCGUGUGUUCUCCGUGUGCUUGAACCUGCUGUGAUUUCAAGGCCUCUCCUUGGGAGGCCAGAAAGAUCCACCGCCCUCACCCCAGGGGCUUAAGGAGGUGUAGUAGUGACAGAAUUGGCAGGCUGUAUCAAAGUGUUUGAAAUUCCCUAAAUAAAGUACCACUAGCAUCAUAAAUCCUAAUGCCAUCAGAUUUCUCUUUACGUUUGUCAAAGGAGCAGCCUGCCGUUUCAGAACUGCAGUACUGUCUCUUUGCAAUUCGUUACUACCUCGAUAUUGAAGGCAUUUAAUAAGAAAGACUAGAUAAUAUGUCCAGGGGAGUCUCUAAGGUGGUACCAAUGCCCCUCUCAGGGGCAUUAAGCUUACUAAGAUAUAUUAAUUCAUACCCACACACCUGUCCUCCUGUCCAAACCUAUAUAGAUGUCCACACCCCCUAAGUUAUUUCCAAACCUGGAUUUAAAUUAAGUGUUCACAGCAGGGAACAUAAAACUGAGCUGUACCCGAGAAACUUUUGAACACAGAGUUCUUGAUAAAAGAUCUAGUGAUUUGAUAGACUUGGCACAUGGACACACAGAUGACAUUUGUGCUGCCUUGGCAAAAUGUUCUUUACUUUCAGAGUCCUUUCUCUUUACUACAGGACACAAUAAACAGCACAAUUUCCAGGAGUCCGCAGUUCCAACGUGGCUUGUCCGUGGGAACUUGUCACAUUGAGAACUGUGUUUGUGCUUUGCUGAAUUGCCACCCCGAGCUGUCAGAUCCUAUUUGCUUUGCUAAAUAAGGAUAUCUUACUAAAUUAGCCUUUAAUGAUACCUCUACACAUAGGGUGUUUUACGUGAAUUAACAAGGCCGGAACACUGCAUGUUAUGCCAAGAUACUGAGCUAUAAUCGAGGCGGUGAAGCUGAAUGUUAAAAUUACUGACUUGUUAAGUGUGGAAAAUCAGACAGAAUUUAGUUCUAAAUGUGAUACGAUUUCUGCUUUAAUGGUGAGCAUUCCCAAAACAUAGGCAUUGCUUAUAUUUGGCCCUCUGAAACCAUGCAUAUAAUUAUGAAUACAUUUAGCAAACUUUCCCCCUCUCCGAGUCUACAAAUAAGCAAAGUAAUGUGGUGAAGUGAUUAUAAAUCAGUACUUUGCAGUGAAAGGUCGCCAUUAAUUCAGCAAAGAACUGCAGCUCCUUUCCAUAUUCUUACCAUCCUCCUGCCCCCCUCCAACCGGUAAGAAAAAAAAAAUUGACGUGGAACUGCUGAAUACACGUUGGCUUUUCUCCUUUUGCUUCGGUGUGUGAAAUUUCAUUAAUCAUUUGCUAUUCCUCCCUCUAAGAGGUGUGGAUUUAGGGGAAGAAAUAGCAACUUUGAAAUUUAGUUCUUAGCAGUGUAUAACCCAUAAAGGAAAAAAAAUUUAAUAGAAAAGAAUAAAGUAUGGUUGGGGGUAAAAUAGUUAGAGAUGCAAUGAAAAUGACACUUUGUUCGAAAUCAAACAUGCAUUUGUGACUAAAACCAAUGAAAGUUGGAAAAAUCCCCACCUGGGAAUUCCCUCUAUGUCUUGCUCAUUAGCAUUCCCACCCUAACAUUGAGAACCAGGAAAAGAUUCUUGCCAGAUAAACUUAGAGCUCCCUAAGGUGGGCAGCUCACCCUUCUCUAAUUUGGACUGCAGAGUAAAUACCACUAUUUUAGGCAUGAGGAUAAAAAUUAGUCUGGCGAACAGUGAAGGCAAACUCUGUACUUAAGAGUCACUUACCAGAAAAUAAGUGCAUAUACCAACAAAAUAAAACAUUGUUGACCAGUGUUACUUUACCACAGAAUUUUCUUUCAUGUUUGCCAUCCUGAAUGCAGGAAAAUAUGGUCCUUUUUGCUUCUUAGAUUUAGAAUAAGAUGAGAAUAAACCCGGAACAACAACCCUGACACCCACAAAGUUGAUGUAAAGAAUCAUAGACUUUUCAGGCCCAGCAGUCAUGAACCUAUCCAGGGAGAGGUGGACAUUAAAGAAACAGUGUCUGGGCCGGGGAUUUAGCUCAGUGGUUCUGCUGCCUGCCUCGCAAGCGCAAGGACCUGAGUUCGAUCCCCGGUACCAAAAAAAAAAAAAAGAAAAGAAAAAGAAACAGUGUCUAAGGAGUAGACCUUGGGGUUCUUCCAUCACCCCAUGCUAGGCUGAGCCCCCAGCUCCCUUCGUGGUCUCUUUCCAAAGUAGCUAGCCUUCAGAUGCUGCCUUCUCAGCGGGCCCAGUUGCAGGGGACAUAUGCAAAUAUUUACAAAGCUUUCAAAUAAAGGUUCUGGUUUUCCUGUCUUCUUUAUAGAAAACAUCUAAAUUUACAGAACAUAAAGCAAACUUUUCCCCAUUGUCUCUGAAUGCUGGCACUCUAGAAAAUGCAAACGUCUUGGUGUCACAAGAGAGCCGUUUGAAAAUGCUCUGGCAAGAGGGGUGUGUGUGUGGCACAUGUAAGCGUUUCUUGGAGAUGGGGACUGGGCAGGGGGAGGAGUCAGCGGCUGGUCGGAGCCUGAAGUUAGUUGAACCUCAUGGGGUGAAAAUUUUCUGAGAAGAGCAGCAAACUCGACUGUCCUGUUGGAAUUGGACAUGAAAUCAGUGCCCAGGCCUCUGUCAUCUGUGCCCAAACCAGCCUGGACCGCUGCCAGCUGAGGCCCAGACAUGGCCGAAUGUAGCCACUGCUGGAGCCCAAACAUGCUCCAGACAGUUGCCUGGGGGGAUCUCCUCCUGGGACCCAGGCGGCAGCAGUUCAGCCAGAGGUGGGGUGUUUGGCUCCCAGGGCAGCCUCCCCAGACACUCUUCGGGGCUCAGUAGCUUGUGGGUGCUGGGGCCCAGAGGGCAGUACCUCACUUUGUUCAGAGGUAAACAGGUGACGUUGUCCCUGUCCCACAAGCUCGGAGCAAAUCCAGCCUGUGUGAGACCACAGUGACUGGAAAAGAGUCCAGUGCAGGUUUGUUCCUGUAGCCAUUGCUGGUCUUUUCUCCAGGCACGAGGAGUAUCCUGUCCCCUAUCCAGGGACUCUACUCCCUUUUCUUUUCUUUUUCUUUUUUUUUUUUUGCAGUAGCAGGGAUUGAACUCAGGACUUGCACUUGCGAGACAGGCGCAGCUAAAUCCCAGGCCCCUAAGGGAGCCUACUGCUUCCACAGGGUGGGAGGCAAACUGGGCUGAGGGGCAGAGGUGUAGCCUAGAUGUGGAGAGGAGGCUUUGGAAGGCUAUCAGAGGACAGGAGGUGGGGGGCAAGUACGCAGAGAAAGAGGCGGACAUCUGAGCCAGCUUCAGGGUCAGCCAGGCCAGGGGCUGAGUGGGCAUGCUGGGCUGAAGCCUUCAGGAAAGAGGUGUGCAGCCUGCUGAGCCCUGGCAUCUAGGGUGCCCACUCCGCGAAGCCGGGCCCAGGCCUGAGUCAGCCAAACCCUGGGACUCCCAUUUGGCCCCAGUAACUGGAUUCCAGGCCACCAAAGGCCUUGUGGGUUCCUGAUUGUGUCUCGGGAUGGCAUUAUAAGGCCUUGAUGGAGAGCUCAUGGGCUGUGCCAUAUUUAGCUACAGGUUCACCCAGAGAAUAUUUUGGGUGCUGCUUGAAAGGGGAGCUCUGAGCCCUGUUGCUGACUGUCACAAGGCAGGGGUGGGAUCGCUUCCUCGCAGGCCUGGCCCAGAAGCUUAGAGACUCUGCCAAGGCUUUGGGACCAUGCAGUGGGUUCUAGGGAGCCAGGAAGUGCCCUGGGAGCCAGUUCUGGGCUGGGAACAUGUUGGGAAGGCUUUUCGCCCUGUUUUCGUUGAGCAGCGAUAAGGCCACUUCCAUUCAUAGAACUCACAGAGGCCAUUUUCAGCCUCUGUCUUCUCCAAGAUGGCCCAGUGUGAUAUGCCAGGCUGCUGAGUGAGUGGCCUCCUCCUCAGGUGUCAGCCACGGGGGCAGGGUUAACCCUUUCAAGGCCCUCGGUGUGGGCUGGCACAGGGGCAGCCUUCUGCACAGACGGCCACGGUCCUGUGUGCUUGUUUCCCUUAAUCCUCAGACCCUAGUGGCAGACCCAAGAGGGAACCUUAGCAGUGAUGCCACCCCAUUGGUGAUAACCACUUGGCUCUCCUACCCAAGCCUUCUACCUGCUGGUCAUCCAGCUGUGGAAACAGCUGCUUACCUUCCAGAUGUUUUCGUCUGGGUCUCAAAGUUAACUGACUUUCCCCUAAUGCAGAGGAGGGGGCAUUAAUAGCUAGGCUUUCGCUUUGAUCAUCGGGAAGGGCUGGAAUAACCGUUUGGGGUUUGGGGCAAAUGUUGCAGGCUCCUCGGGGUCACUGGCCUUAGGGAAUAAUCUGUGUGACCAUUUCUGGACCCUGGUCUGGGUUCCUGGAGGGAGGGGCGCGUCUGUAUGGAAGCUAUGGCUUGGAGACAUCUUUAGCCCAUUAUUCUGAGGACAGCGAGGUUCCUUCCAGGAGCCUAUGCGAGCUGACACACACCCUGAAAGCAUCCACUUGUUUAAAGUUUGCUCUAACUUUGUACAUUUUUUCCCUUUUAGUUUGGCUCUUGGUGCUCCAAGAGCCCCCACUUCCUGCCAGCUGGUUACCGCAGGGAAAAUGAGGGACUUUUGGGGGCAGAUGUGUUUCCGUUCCACUAUCAUAAUGCCCCUAAAAAUCCUUAUUGCUCUUGCAGUAUUCCUCGGGGUCCCCGGGCCAGGAAGACGGCGGCUCUGGGCUCCUCCAGCAACACAGAGAGGAGAGCGAGGUGUCCCCAGAUGGGCAUCCCUCCCACAGUCCCUCUGCUUCCCUGGAAGAUCUGUCCGCACCAUGCUCAGAACCAGUCACCCUCCCCUAAAAGAGAGGAUUUCAUUUACAAACAUGAACGCUGGUUACUAAACUCGCUUUUUGCCCUCCAGGCUCAGAUCGGUGGAGCUCAGGCCUGGGAAGAAGAGGCCACUGAGACACAUGGGGAAACCACAGUCCAGCAGUAUGCCUGGGUUUCUGGAAGCAGCCAUGCUUAUGAUCCAGCCUACGAUCUGUGACUCUUGCUGUGUUGCCCCAGGGAUGUGACUCAACCUCUCUGGGCCUCCAGUGCCUCGUGCAUGACACCCACAGCUUGGAUGAGAAGUUUCCCAAAUCUCUUAUGCACAUCUGCUCUAUGACUUUCAGAGGUACCUGGCUGAAGAUAAAAAUUUCUUAAAUAGGUGUUUCUUUGCAUGGCUGAUUUCUAUUUAUGGCAAUAGGUUGGUGUUCCCUAUAGGGGGGAUAUGUCUCCUUUUCUGUCGAAAUCAAUUUAUGUGGGUAAGAAAUGAGUCUCCUUCUUGAAAGAGAAAUGCAAAGCAAAUUAUGGCAGGUGGCCUGAGGAUGGGACCAAAAUCGAGACAACAGUUUGUAAAGUUUCAUGGGCCCACUUUUUAGAAAGAGUUCGUGUUUCUCUUAGGGGUUUUCUGUACCCUUAGUUGAUGGUGGGGGGAGUAAGUUGCCAGUUAAACCCAUGCUGUGUCCUGUGUUGUCCUUGGGGUCCCAACACCAGAGGCCCUCCCCAACUCCCCCCAUCCGUAGACCCCAUUUACCUCCACCCUGGGGUCACAGUGACCCAGUGCUCUCCUUCCCCGAUGGCUCACCUCUCUGAGCCUGUUUGCUCAGGGAAAUGGGGAGAAGAAACGCCCUGUGAAUGAGAUCAGGGGGUUGGGGAGCCUCACCACGAAGCAGGGAGAGUUCUGGAACAGGGCACCGGCUCAGGGGGCAGCAGGUGCCAGGGGCCCUGGAGCAGGUGGGGCAUGGCGGGGGGCGCCCUUGUCCAGCGGGCCGUGCAGUGCUGGG